UGCUGGAGGUAUCAGAAGUGCGAAUGCUGACAUAAGUAACGAUAAAGCGGGUGAAAAGCCCGCUCGCCGGAAGACCAAGGGUUCCUGUCCAACGUUAAUCGGGGCAGGGUGAGUCGACCCCUAAGGCGAGGCCGAAAGGCGUAGUCGAUGGGAAACGGGUUAAUAUUCCCGUACUUGGUGUUACUGCGAAGGGGGGACGGAGAAGGCUAUGUUGGCCGGGCGACGGUUGUCCCGGUUUAAGCGUGUAGGUGUGUGUUCCAGGUAAAUCCGGUUCACUUUAACACUGAGGCGUGACGACGAGGCACUACGGUGCUGAAGCAACAAAUGCCCUGCUUCCAGGAAAAGCCUCUAAGCAUCAGGUAACAUCAAAUCGUACCCCAAACCGACACAGGUGGUCAGGUAGAGAAUACCAAGGCGCUUGAGAGAACUCGGGUGAAGGAACUAGGCAAAAUGGUGCCGUAACUUCGGGAGAAGGCACGCUGACACGUAGGUGAAGUGAUUUACUCAUGGAGCUGAAGUCAGUCGAAGAUACCAGCUGGCUGCAACUGUUUAUUAAAAACACAGCACUGUGCAAACACGAAAGUGGACGUAUACGGUGUGACGCCUGCCCGGUGCCGGAAGGUUAAUUGAUGGGGUCAGCGCAAGCGAAGCUCCUGAUCGAAGCCCCGGUAAACGGCGGCCGUAACUAUAACGGUCCUAAGGUAGCGAAAUUCCUUGUCGGGUAAGUUCCGACCUGCACGAAUGGCGUAAUGAUGGCCAGGCUGUCUCCACCCGAGACUCAGUGAAAUUGAACUCGCUGUGAAGAUGCAGUGUACCCGCGGCAAGACGGAAAGACCCCGUGAACCUUUACUAUAGCUUGACACUGAACAUUGAGCCUUGAUGUGUAGGAUAGGUGGGAGGCUUUGAAG
rnacentral:rRNA from 4 species